rnacentral:rRNA from 1 species
CCUACAGAAGAAGCACCGGCUAACUCCGUGCCAGCAGCCGCGGUAAUACGGAGGGGUGCGAGCGUUAAUCGGAAUUACUGGGCGUAAAGCGCAUGCAGGCGGCCUGUUAAGUCAGAUGUGAAAGACCCCGGGCUUAACCUCGGAAUUGCAUUUGAAACUGGCAGGCUAGAGUCUUGUAGAGGGGGGUAGGAAUUUCAGGUGUAGCGGUGAAAUGCGUAGAGAUCUGAAGGAAUACCAGUGGCGAAGGCGGCCCCCUGGACAAAGACUGACGCUCAGAUGCGAAAGCGUGGGGAGCAAACAGGAUUAGAUACCCUGGUAG